AUUGAACGCUGGCGGCAGGCCUAACACAUGCAAGUCGAGCGGAUGAAGGGAGCUUGCUCCUGGAUUCAGCGGCGGACGGGUGAGUAAUGCCUAGGAAUCUGCCUGGUAGUGGGGUAUAACGUCCGGAGACGGGCGCUAAUACUGCAUACGUCCUGAGGGAGAAAGUGGGGGAUCUUCGGACCGCACGCUAUCAGAUGAGCCUAGGUCGGAUUAGCUAGUUGGUGGGGUAAAGGCCUACCAAGGCGACGAUCCGUAACUGGUCUGAGAGGAUGAUCAGUCACACUGGAAGUGGGACAGGGUCCAGGCUCCUACGGGAGGCAGCAGUGGGGAAUAGUGGACAGUGGGCGAAAACCUGAUCCAGCCAUGCCGCGUGUGUGAAGGAGGUCUUCGGAUUGUAAAGCACUUUAAGUUGGGAGGAAGCGCAGUAAGUUAAUACCUUGCUGUAUUGACGUUAACAACAGAAGAAGCACCGGCUAACUUCGUG
rnacentral:rRNA from 1 species